ACAACCCUGCUGUGUGCGUUGUCAGUUUAUGUCUUAAACCAAUGAGAGUAGACAGGAAGACCGAUAUUUAAGUAACAACAUCGUGCCUAUUUUAGGAGGAUGAAAGUUACUUGUGAGGACAUCCACCUUAGAGUUUCGGUUUACUUAGACAUAAAAGGAAUAACGGCAUUUGCGGGAAAAAA
rnacentral:other from 1 species